AGAGGGAGGAGUUAAGGAGACAGACAGAGAGAGAGAGAGAUCUGAGGAGAAGAGGGAGAACCAAAAUGGAGGCUGACGUGGUGUUAUCAAAGAGACUCUUGUGCUGCGUGACCCCUGACUGUAACCAAGUGUCCUUCUCUCUGAGACGUUCCCUCGGAGCUUGUUCUCACAGCCCUCACCUCCAGUGACCUCCACGAACUUUUCCACACGAGGGGUUCUCUGCUUCCCUCCAUCUGAGCUGCGCAAUUCCACCAGGCCUUUUGCUCCUCUUCAGUCAGGUGCUUUGGAGGUAAUGAAGUCUUUCGGGGGAAAAAUAAACAAAGGAAAUGCACCCGGUUGAUGUCAAUGGACUUGUUUAACUAUUUAAGGCCACUGUCUCCAAGUGUAAGUGUGCUGCGGUGUGUUUUGUAAAGUAGCGCUUAUAAUCCACUGAGCUUUCCAAACAGCCCUCUUGCCUAUUAAGCCUGCAUUGAGAAGUGGGUUUAAUUUGCCAGAGUAGUUUUUUGUGAUAAUUACAGGACUUGCAGAUUAGCUUGAGUGACUUGGCAAGGUUCUGUAGCUAAUAAAAAAUCACACAGGAAAAAAAUUGUAACAUUCAAUUGCUUCAAGGUUCUUCACGAGAGAAACAUUAAACAAACCUGAUAGGCCAGUUUCCAGUCUGUGAAGGGACUUGGAGGCAAGCCGGGAGAGAGGGAGGAGAAAGAGAUCGCCAUGAUGGGGAAGAAGGAAGAGGAGACCUAAAGGCCAGCUGACAUCAGGACUUUGGGUCCCUAACCUGCAACUCAGCACUCAGUCCAUCAUGGGCUUUGCUAGUCUCUGUGACUUCUCCAGGGCAGGAAAGUGACAGGUUUCUGCGCAAGGGAGCCCGAGGUACCUGGUUCAGGAUGGAGAGGGCACUUGAGAGGCGUCAAAAGCAAGCACAGUUAGAGGACAUCAGCGAUGUUAAAACCCCACGAGGGUCAACAGUAGCCCAGGCAAAAUAAAGGAGCCUGAAGUGGAAAAACAGAAAUGGAACAAGACGUUUGUUCUGGAGCACGUGAGAUUGUCCUUCUAAGACAUUUCCAGAAGUAUUCAAAGGAAGAUUUAAUGGGAAAUCAUUAUGCAAAAGAGUCAGUAAUAUAUUUUAGUUUCAAAAAGUACGGAGCGUGACGCCUGUCAAUUAUACCUUCUGCAAAGGUGAGUGGCGGUUGUCCUUGCUGUUCCAAAAUGCAAAGAGAAACAAACAAACAAACAAACAAGCAAACCAGCUACUCCUAUUCCGCACUCCAAACACCAAGCAGAAAUGCUUCUGGGACAAACUGAGCUUCAUUCUUUAUGAAAAUGAAAACACUUCUUUCUGUGCACUAGGAAAAUGUUCUGCCUCUGAGCUGCAAAACCAGCACCAAACUUGAAAAGUUUGUGCAUCAAAGGAAAAAGGCAACCUACAGGAUGGGGGAGAAUAUUUGCAGGACACAUGUCCUGGAAGGAAUACAUAUUUAGACUGAAUAAAAUGAGUAAGAGGAGGGAUAGGGAGUUCGUGUUCAAUGUUGAGAGCUUGGGACAGUUGAGAAAACGCUCCGGAGUGUUCUGCAGAUGAAUGAUGGUGACGACUGCAUCAGUGUGAAUGUCCUUAACGCCGUCAAAAAUUGGUUAUAAUGGCAAAUUUUAUGCUACAUAUGUUUUACUACAAUAAAAAUGCCAGGAAAAUCUAACUGCUCCAAAUCCUGAAUUUAUUAACCCAAUAAAUUAGGAGAUGGUUAUUGACCUAUAAAUGGAUUUGUCAAUUUUUAAAAUGAUUUCCUUUAAAUUGAAUUCUUUCCUAGAGCUUUAUUGUCUCUUCACAAACCAUUAAACACUUGUUAAAGUGUUCAGAGAGGGCUGAGAUGGAGGAGGAAGUGAAAACCAAACAAACAGAUGAGGGACCUUCCCCAAAUGAUGUCUGCUAACAGGCUUCUUGGGUAUUCUAUUUAUAUAGAUUUUACAAGUGUUUUAUUUGAGAGGAAAAAUCCCUAGACCUUACAUAGUACAAUGAACUUCUUAUGCCUGUCAGCUAGAUUUAUUAAUUUUUAACGAGGUGUAUUACUUUUAAAAGCUAUCUAUUUACUAUUGGGGGAGGGAGAAGGACAAAGGACAUCUUGCAGAAGUCUGGUCUCUCCUGCUAUGUGGGUUCUGGAGAUAGGAAAUCAGGCAGGUUGUCAGGCCUAGAAGCAAAGGCCUGUCUGCACUGAGCCAUCUUACUUGUCUUAUUUUGUUACUUUUGAUGACCUAUUUUAGACAUCACUAUUCUAUAGCCCUAAGUAUAACUUCAAGUAUGUAUCUUCCACAAUGACUUUAUGACCAUGAAAUCAAUUCAAGAAAUUUAACAUGUAUGCAGUUCUAUCCAGCGUACAUACAGAUUUCUCAUCCCCCCUUUUACUGUAGUUUAUAGAAAAAGCAAUUCUCUUCCAUAUCUAGAGUUUGACAAGGAAUAUGCAUUGCAUUUGGUUUCUGUGUUCUUUAAUCUCUUGUUGUACAGAACUUCAACCUUUCAUGACAGGUUGAACAAUUUUGGAUCAUACAGGCUGUCAUGGUUUGAAUAUGUUUGGCCCAGGGAGUGGUACUGUUAGGGGUGUGGUCUUCUUGGAAUAGGUGUGUCACCGUGGGCGUGGGCUUUAAGACCCUCAUCCUUAGCUUCUGGAAGUCAGUCUUCCACUAGCAACCUUCAGAUGAAGAUGUAGAACUCUCACCAUCUCCUGCACUAUACCUGCCUGGAUAUCGCCAUGUUCCUGCCUUGAUGAUUAUGGACUGAACCUCUGAACCUGUAAGCCAGCCCCAAUUAAAUUUGUCCUUAUAAGAGUUACCUUGGUCAUGGUGUCUGUUCACAGCAGUAAAACCCUAACUAAGACACAGGCCAAUUACAGAAUGUCUCUUUUUGGUGUGUGCAGUGUUAAAGUUUGAAGCACAAGCCUAAUGCUUGUUAGACAAGCACUCUACCGCUGCUCUACAUCAGCAGCUCAGUGUGCCUCUUGUCUUGAUGGGCUCAUUGUUUUUUAUGACCCAGUGCAUUGGGGUGAGCAGCUCACACAGGUACGAAGGGGUCCCUCUCAGAGCUUAACAUCAGGGAACUCAAUGUUGGUUUGUCUGUUCUAUUUCAGCUGAGCUAGUAUCUGGCAGUUCCCCACAACCCCCAUCAAGUUACCACUUUUUUCUUUGUAAUUGUAAUUUGCAAAGAAAUAUUUGCAAGAUUAAGUAAUAGACUACACAACGUGUUUUAGCUUCCACUGAGCAUUCAGCCUGAACUGUUUUAUAAAGUUAUGAAAUGAUAGAUUUCCAACUUAAUAAUUAUUUUAAAGACUUAUUUUAUUUUUAGUUCUGCAUGUAUGCCUGUGUGUGCACGUGUGUACCUAUGUAUCUGUAUGGUUAUGUGCACAUGAAUGCAGAUGUCCAAGGAGAAGAGGCCAGACACAUUGGAUCCCUGGUGCUCAAGUGGGAGGUGGCUGUCAGCUGCUGUAGGAAGGUGAUGGGAACUCAGCUUGAGUCCUUUGCAAGAACAGCAUGAGCUCUUAAACACAGAGCCACAUCUUCAGUCCCUCUCUUAUUUUUUUAAAAAUUAUUCUCUCUCUGUGUAUGUGUGUGUAUACAGAGGUCAGAGGAUCAUUUUUGUAAAAUUAGUUCUCUCUACCUUUUUUUGUGGGCUCUGGGGACUAAACUCAAGUUGUUGGGAUUUUGUGACAAGUGCUGUAUCCACUGAGCCCUCUCACAUGCCCUUAAAUGUUAUUUUAAAUAAUAGCAAAUGAGUACGUUCAAGCAUACGAGAAUAAGCAUGUCCUAUUGAUUUGAAUAUGCAAAAGUAUGCCAAUUUUUUAAAUCUCUAUUACCAAGUGGACAAGUAUUCCAUUUUAUCUCCAAAAGUAAAGAUUUCUUUUAGAUACAGUCAUGUGGAUUAUACAACUUGACUGAAGCCAUGUCUCCAAGAUACAUACCUAGAGGGUAAAGGGAAUGCUUUAAAGGAGCGUGAUUAUGAAUAUCCAAGCUGAAAAUAAACACUAAUUACUAACAAAAAGGAUUACUGAGAAAAAUAUGGGUUGGUUUUCAGUACUUGACUCUGUAAAGUUAUUUCUUUUCUUAUUUAGUUUUUAUUCAUAAUCAUAAACUUAACUUUGCCAUCCAGCUAGACUUGAAGGGGAAUGAGGAAAAUAUGGAACCCAAAGAACUUGAGCAGAGAUUACAGGGUAUUUCAAGCAGAUGGGGUAGGGAUGCUCUCCUGCGCUACAGAAGGAAUGGUUGGAUGGGUAAAAUGCCUGCAAGUCAAAAGAAAUUAGAGUUAUCCACAGUCGGAAAUGGUCUUGCUGGUCUUUCCAUUCCUGGACCCAAAACACUCCAUGGCUUCCACAAUGUUCAUGCCUUCUUUCACCUUCCCAGACACCACAUGCUUGCCAUCCAGCCACUUAGUCUUGGCAGUGCAGAUAAAAAACUGGGAACCGUUUGUGUUGGUCCAGUAUUUGCCAUGGACAAGAUGCCAGGACCUGUAUGCUUCAGGAUGAAGAUCUCAUCCUCAAAUUUCUCUCCAUAGAUGGAUCUGCCGCCAGUGCCAUUAUGGCAUGUAAAGUCACCACCCUGGCACAUGAAUCCUGGAAUAAUUCUGUGAAAGGAGGAACCCUUCUAGUAAAAUCCUUUCUCUCCAGUGCUCAGAGCAUGAAAGUUUCCCGCUGUCUUUGGAACUUUGUCUGCAAACAGCUGGAAGGAGACUCUUCAAGGGCUCGUCAUCGGCCGUGAUGUCAGAGAACACGGUGGGGUCGACUGUGGCUACAGCAAGAGGACCAACGGUACUGUUGCUCUAGCUACAGGAAUAAUCCUGGGCAGCACUUGUUGACCUUGGUCACUGUCAAGGGAAGAUCGGCUGUUCCCACUGAGGGCAUCUUGAUGGAUUAAGGUGAUCAGCUGAUCAAUGUGAGGGGACAGAUGGGAGCUAGGAACUGUCUCGGUACUGAGUCAUUUUUCAUCUAAUGUGCAAGAAACCCAAAGAGCACAUCAAACAGCGAACUACGCCUAAGCUAUCCAUGUUUCUCCUGCUUCUUCUGAGAGGGUGAUUUACACGUAGCUCAACACUCGAGUGUUGCAGUAUCGAGUGACUGCAACCAAACAAUGGAACAUGCAUCGUGCCUGUUGACAGAGCCUGCAGUUGGCUUGGAACCGGGACCAUGCUGCAUUCGACAUCGUUCCUGGUGGCUGACUUGUUCCCAUAGAAUUAAAUGCUAGGCAUCCAGAAGCUGACUGUGCAUCUGAUGGGCUCACUAACAUUCAGGAACAGGUUGGCCUCAGACUUCAUCAAUGGAAAG
rnacentral:lncRNA from 1 species